GGACCCGUAACUCAGUUGGUUAGAGUGUGAUGCUUAUACUUCGUUACUACAAUGCCAGUAUGCUUCUUCAAAGUCGAGAGUUCGAACCUCUCCGGGUUCA
rfam:Colletotrichum orchidophilum strain IMI 309357 Scaffold_63.1, whole genome shotgun sequence.